rnacentral:sRNA from 1 species
CCUAAUUUCAUGAACCAUGAAAAAUUUUGGGACUAUCUCCAAGAAUUUGCUGAGCACUUUGACCUCCUGAAAUACAUUCAGUUUAAGACCACUGUGUGCAGCAUAACGAAGCGUCCAGACUUCUCCGAAACUGGUCAGUGGGAUGUUGUCACAGAGACAGAGGGCAAGCAAAAUAGAGCUGUCUUUGAUGCUGUUAUGGUUUGCACUGGACAUUUCCUGAAUCCCCAUUUACCUUUGGAAGCCUUUCCUGGAAUUCAUAAGUUUAAAGGUCAGAUCCUGCAUAGUCAAGAGUACAAGAUCCCAGAAGGCUUUCAGGGCAAGCGCGUCUUGGUGAUUGGUCUUGGGAACACUGGAGGAGACAUUGCUGUGGAACUCAGUCGAACGGCAGCUCAGGUACUUCUCAGUACUAGAACUGGUACCUGGGUUCUUGGGCGCUCUUCAGAUUGGGGCUAUCCUUAUAAUAUGAUGGUUACAAGAAGAUGCUGUAGUUUUAUUGCACAAGUUCUGCCUUCAUGUUUUCUCAACUGGAUUCAAGAAAGGAAGUUGAAUAAGAGAUUUAAUCAUGAGGAUUAUGGAUUAAGUAUUACCAAAGGGUACUUACAUUUUUUAUUUAGUAGAAAAAAUAUUAAAUCAAUAUUUCUCAUUACAUUUUAUUCAGAAUUCAAAAUGUUCAAUAAUUGUAAUAUUGCCUUUGUUUAUUCUACUCUAAAUCCAUUUCCCUAAAACACUGCUCAUCAGGUACCACAGCAGUUUUUAAAAUAUAUGUAUUCUCUUUCUGGUAGCAAAAGUAGUGAUUCAUGAGGCUGGAAGAAAAUAAGACGAAAACUUCC